AUUGAACGCUGGCGGCAUGCCUUACACAUGCAAGUCGAACGGCAGCGGGGGAGAAGCUUGCUUUUCCUGCCGGCGAGUGGCGAACGGGUGAGUAAUACAUCGGAACGUGCCCUGUAGUGGGGGAUAACUAGUCGAAAGAUUAGCUAAUACCGCAUACGACCUGAGGGUGAAAGUGGGGGACCGCAAGGCCUCAUGCUAUAGGAGCGGCCGAUGUCUGAUUAGCUAGUUGGUGGGGUAAAGGCCUACCACGGCGACGAUCAGUAGCUGGUCUGAGAGGACACACAGCCACACUGGGACUGAGACACGGGCCAGACUCCUACGGGAGGCAGCAGUGGGGAAUUUUGGACGAUGGGCGAAAGCCUGAUCCAGCAAUGCCGCGUGUGUGAAGGAGGCCUUCGGGUUGUAAAGCACUUUUGUCCGGAAAGAAAUGGCUCUGGUUAAUACCUGGGGCCGAUGGCGGUACCGGAAGAAUAAGGACCGGCUAACUACGUGCCAGCCGCCGCCGUAA
rnacentral:rRNA from 1 species